CCUUUAUUCAAUAUGCAGAAGAUACCCAAGUGGUCUUAGGUUAAAAUUCUGAGCCCCCAAAGCAGAUUUCAGAAAGGAACAUCAUCAUGCUUUUGGGAUUGUGAAAUAAAGCCACACUGGACCUCCACGCAGAGGAACUCUGUAGGCGAUCCACAUGGUUCAUUGCACCAAUCAUAUUCCCUGGCAUUUCAACUGUGGGACCACUCAAAGCAGCCGCAAGCCUGGUAUUUCUCUCUUUUGUCCUCCAUUGGAGAGCAUGGUUGUGCCAAGGCUCUCUAGCCAGGACAGCCCAUCCUCAGGCCACCCAGCUCCGUGAGUGAGUUCCCUGCACAGCCUGUGACUGACUCACCGAUGCAGUGGGGCUGAUCUUCACAUGGCACCCCAAGCAGGCUUUUCCAGUUCACAUCUGCCAACAAGGCAGCCAAGGGGGUGGUUUAGGAAGUAGAGAAAAGGUGAAAAGGCAGCGGAGGGAGCCGGCUGUCCUGUGUCUCCUCUUUUUCCUGCCCCCAGUGACUUGCAUUUUCUCUGAGACAGCUGCCAUUCUAGUCUCCCAGCCAUUCUUAGGAAGAGACGUGCCUGUCUCUGGGAAGAGGCAACUUCUCUGCAUGUCAGAGAUGUUUUCUCUCUCCUGAAAUAAGCCUUGACUCUAUUUGAUCUGCAGAGCCUUGGCAUGAAGAAUAUUUUAUGUUUCUUCUGUGAAGUAAAAAGGCAAGUCUUGUUGACUGAUGGUGAUUAACCAUAAUAAAGAUGCCUCAGUCAUAACAUGAACAUUGAAUAUAGGAUAUCAUCUGCUCAGAAGCAGACCCGAGUAAUCCAAAUGACAGACUGUGAUAUGAAGCUCAGUGAUGCCAGGCUUCUGUGUGAAGACUCAGAUGCUCAAAAAGUAACAGAGAAGCUCUAGAAAGGUUAUUUGUGCCUCCAUUAUGGAAACUUCUUCUGAGCUUAGGAGUAAUGUUAUGGGAGAAAUGCAAAUAAAGAGUGCCUGCUGUCUCUGUUCUGGUUCUUUCUACUUCCCCUCUGUCCUCCCAAGGUAAAUAGCUGAUGGGCUGCCAGACAAAUACUUUCAGAGUACUCAAGGACAGAGCAGACUAAGAAAGGCUUAGCCAAAGCUGGACAGGGACCAAUAAUAGAAUCAUUUCUACUCAUCCUUUGGAGAAGAGCCAUUUCUCCUUUCUGCAAACUAAGAGUGGGUCUUUUGUUUGUUGGCCUUGACAUGAGG
rnacentral:lncRNA from 1 species